CCGCCCUCGCCGCCCGCCAUUUUCCGUGCGGCCGCGGCCAGCACCACUGCGAACUGUUACCGGUUUGCGGCUUCGUGAACAAAAUGCGCAGAGUCUAGUUUGGAAAGUCCCAAAUCGGCAACAGUUUCUGGCCACCCAGGUGGGACCCUGCGCUUGGACGGGACCUCGCUCGGGAACGCAUCGCAGCCGGAGGGAUUCGCUAGGCGGGCUCCAGCGCGCACCGGUGGGAUUAGCCGGAGACUCCACUGGCGAACCCCCGGUUACGUGAGUCAGGACUCAUAAGGAGGAACAUCCAGCCCCAGCCCUUGGAGAACAGCCUAGAAGAAAAUAAGCAAUAACUGGGGGGGGCAGCAUGACCACCAACUCAAGAAACCCAUUGACUCAAGAGAAGGACAGACCUUGCAUGCCUGAUCAGCAUAAGAAGUGAGAGGGACCUUUAAUAUUCCACCACCACUAAGGGGUAGAUUGUUCAUAAUUAAUGAACAAAUUGUAUAACUCAACCAAUGGACACUGAUUUGCUUGUUUGUCAAAAUGUAUAAAUGGCUUAAGGUUACAAUCAUUGGGGUGCUUGAUUUGCGGAAACUUCACUGAGGACCCUGCACAGAAUAAACAAUGUCUCCUUUCUUAA